rnacentral:lncRNA from 1 species
AUUUGAGAUAGGUUCAAGUUUACUGAUCUGUACGCAUUCAGUUUGUUUGUAUCCGUUCUUGUGUAGAUAUGGAUUGAUUCUUUGAGUUUCGUUCUAUCCGUUUGUAUUGCGUUUGAGAUAUGUAACUUAAUGGUUUUGUUCUUUUGUAACAGGACGGUGUAGGUUCGAGUCCUUGACACUUGACAGACAAGAGUAGCUGAAGUGAGAGAGCGUUUCUGUAGUGACACACAAGGUAACUUGUCUCUUGCAAAACUGAAUGUGUGUUUUAUUGAUUUGUUAUGGGAUAUGAUCAGCUGAUGAUUUGUUAUGAGAUAUGUAGAGGUCAUCGAUGAGUUUGAUGUGUUUUAUGAGUUUGCUUGCUAC